rnacentral:rRNA from 1 species
CAGCCGCCGUGGGAAUACAGAGGGUGCGAGCGUUAAUCGGAUUUACUGGGCGUAAAGCGUGCGUAGGCGGCUUUUUAAGUCGGAUGUGAAAUCCCUGAGCUUAACUUAGGAAUUGCAUUCGAUACUGGGAAGCUAGAGUAUGGGAGAGGAUGGUAGAAUUCCAGGUGUAGCGGUGAAAUGCGUAGAGAUCUGGAGGAAUACCGAUGGCGAAGGCAGCCAUCUGGCCUAAUACUGACGCUGAGGUACGAAAGCAUGGGGAGCAAACAGGAUUAGAGACCUCCGUAGUCCCUGUCUCUUAUAC